rnacentral:rRNA from 1 species
UACGUGAGGCCCAAACGUUAUUCGGAAUUACUGGGCGUAAAGGGCUCGUAGGCGGCCAACUAAGUCAGACGUGAAAUCCCUCAGCUUAACUGGGGAACUGCGUCUGAUACUGGAUGGCUUGGAUUCGGGAGAGGAAUGCGGAAUUCCAGGUGUAGCGGUGAAAUGCGUAGAUAUCUGGAGGAACACCGGUGGCGAAGGCGGGUCUCUGGGCCGAUACUGACGCUGAGGAGCGAAAGCGUGGGGAGCGAACAGG